GUGUGCGAGUCAUUGGGUAUUUUGUUGAAACCUAAGGGCGCAAUUAAAAUAACUAUUUUAUGGGAUUACAAGUGAAUUAAAUUUCAUUUCUCCAUCCCGGGGCGUUCUAUACGAACAUGGUUUAAGCAAUUGAACCCUCUGUUCAAGAGCGUACCUUGAGCAUACAUGCUGUGACCCGAAAGAUGGUGAACUAUACCUGAUCAGAUCGAAGCCAGGAGAAAUUCUGGUGGAGGAUCGAAACAGUUCUGACGUGCAAAUCGAUUGUCAGAAUUGGGUAUAGGGGCGAAAGACCAAUCGAACCAUCUAGUAGCUGGUUCCCUCCGAAGUUUCCCUCAGGAUAGCUGGCGCAAAUAAUUAUAUUUUAUAUAAUCUUAUCUGGUAAAGCGAAUGAUUAGAGGCCUUGGGGCCGAAACGACCUCAACCUAUUCUCAAACUUUAAAUGGGUAAGAACCUCAUCUUUCUUGAUCUGAAGAUAUUGGGGUUUAGAUAUAUUGUGCCCAGUGGGCCACUUUUGGUAAGCAGAACUGGCGCUGUGGGAUGAACCCAAACAUGAUGUUACGGCGCCUAAAUUAAUGACUCAUAUUGAUACCAUGAAAGGCGUUGGUUGCUUAAAACAGCAGGACGGUGGACAUGGAAGUCGUAAUCCGCUAAGGAGUGUGUAACAACUCACCUGCCGAAGCAACUAGCCCUUAAAAUGGAUGGCGCUCAAGUCAUAUGCCUAUACAUCAUCGCUAGAAUAAAAAUUGUUGGCCAUUUUUGGUCAUCAUUAUGAAAUUCUAGUGAGUAGGAGGGUACAAUGGUGUGCGCAGAAGUGUUUGGCGUGAGCCUGCAUGAAGCCGCCAUUGGCACAGAUCUUGGUGGUAGUAGCAAAUAAUCGAAUGAGAUCUUGGAGGACUGAAGUGGAGAAGGGUUUCGUGUGAACAGUGGUUGAUCACGAGUUAGUCGGUCCUAAGCUUUAUGCGAAAGCUGUUUAAUUUAUGUUACACACAAAUAUACUAUUUUAUUGUUGUACAUAAUUCAAUAAAAGCGAAAGGGAAUACGGUUCCAAUUCCGUAACCUGUUGAGUAUACGUUUGUUUAUUAAAAAUGGGUCUUAUUACACUCAUCCUGGCAACAGGAACGACCA
rnacentral:rRNA from 1 species